GACGAACGCUGGCGGCGUGCUUAACACAUGCAAGUCGAACGGAAAGGCCCUGCUUGCAGGGUACUCGAGUGGCGAACGGGUGAGUAACACGUGGGUGAUCUGCCCUGCACUUCGGGAUAAGCCUGGGAAACUGGGUCUAAUACCGGAUAGGAGCCAUUUUUAGUGUGAUGGUUGGAAAGUUUUUUCGGUGUAGGAUGAGCUCGCGGCCUAUCAGCUUGUUGGUGGGGUAAUGGCCUGCCAAGGCGGCGACGGGUAGCCGGCCUGAGAGGGUGGACGGCCACAUUGGGACUGAGAUACGGCCCAGACUCCUACGGGAGGCAGCAGUGGGGAAUAUUGCACAAUGGGCGCAAGCCUGAUGCAGCGACGCCGCGUGGGGGAUGACGGCCUUCGGGUUGUAAACUCCUUUCGCUAGGGACGAAGCUUUUUGUGACGGUACCUAGAUAAGAAGCACCGGCUAACUACGUG
rnacentral:rRNA from 1 species